UUGGGCUCCGGCUUUGCCGUCGCCGUGGCCUCUGGCCUUUGCCCCGGUCGGGCGGGACUUCCUCUCUCUUGUUUGCAAGGACUCCAAAGUCAAGCCCAGGACUGAAGUCGCGCGUGUCAACCUCUCCGGCCGAGGGUUAGCCUUGUCCAAAUGCACGGGUUCUCACCUUGUACAGUUACGCUGUCCCACGGCAAGUCCGAGAGGACUUGAAGUCCUGAGCGCCCAAGUGUGUCUGUCUGUAGGUCGAGAGAACGCCAUGGAGGUGCCGCCACCGGCAUCGCGGAGCUUCCUCUGUAGAGCACUGGGUCCUUUCCCCCGAGUCUUUGCUGCCGAACCUGUGACUGCCGAUUCAGAGGCCCUUGCGGAGCGUCAGUGGCCGCCUACCGUCGUCCCAGAGCCCUGUUACCCGGAAUCCGGAUGGGACCGCCUCCGGGAGCUGUUUCUCAAAGAUGAACAGCAGAAACUUUCAAAAGAACUUACUGAUAUCUGUAAGGCGGCAUUGACAGCAGGCAUCAUUGGCAUGGUGUAUGGAGGAGUACCAGGUUUUGUUAAUGCUAAACAACGAUACAUUGAGCAAAGCCAGGCAGAAAUUUAUCAUAGCCGGCUUGAUGCUGUGCAAUGUGCACAUCGUGCUGCCACACGAGGCUUCAUUCGGUAUGGCUGGCGCUGGAGUUGGAGAACUGCAGUGUUUGUGACUACAUUCAACACAGUGAACGCUGGUCUGAAUGUAUACCGAAAUAAAAAUGCCGUAAGCCAUUUUGUAAUUGCAGGAGCUGUCUCAGGAAGUCUUUUUAGAAUAAACUUAGGCCUGCGUGGCCUGGUGGCUGGUGGUAUACUUGGAGCCUUGCUGGGCACUCCUAUAGGAAGCCUGAUGAUGAUAAUUCAGAAGUACUCUGGUGAGACUGUUCAGGAGAGAAAACAGAAGGACCGAAAGGCACUCCAUGAUCAAAAACUGGAAGAGUGGAAAGCCAGAUUACAAAUUACUGCACGCCUCCCUAAGCAAAUUGAAAGUAGCAUACAGAAAAAUCAACCUGAGGAUGAUGCUAAGAGAAUUGAAGCACUGCUAAACCUUCCUAGAAACCCUUCAAUAAUAGAUGAACAAGACAAGGACUGAAAGUACUCUGAACUUAAAACUCAGUGGAGAGUUGACGGGAGCUAUGCUGCCAUGUCUUUUGAAUGCCAACACACAGGCCACUCUUUGGUCAGCCUGACAAAUGUCAGCAGAGCAACUUCUUUGCCCACCGUAUUCCUCUAGACACUUCCUGCAAAGCAACUGAAGUGAAGAAGCACCUAAGAACAGAUACACAAAGGUCAAGGUGGGGUAAUCCUGUCCCUCUGAAGAAGUUCCCAGAAGAGGUCAAUUGCAAGUGAAGGUGGGACCUGAGAAAACAAAUAAAUGAUUACAUCAAACCCUAUAUUGGCAAAGGAGGAAAACUUCUUAAAUUUAUAUACAUAUAUAUUUAAUAUAUAUUGGUGCUUGCUAAACAUUUGCCUAAUCAAUAUUUCAUGUGAUAAAAAUUGCCAGAAUAGUUUUAAGUUGUCUCAUAAUUUAGCGCUCUCUUCAUAUUCUUCAGCUAUCAAGAUUACUAUGUCCAAGUUGGGAGUAUCUUUGAUCUUGAGAUUAAAAAUAUAUAUAUAAUAUGUAUUUAUAUAUUUAAUAUAUGUAUAUAUUAUUUUAUAUAUACUAUAUAACAUUUUUUAUAUUUAAUGUUUAUAUAAAUACAAAAUAUAUAAAUACUUAUAUAUCUUAUAUAUAAAUAUAUAUUUAAUCUCAAGAUCAAAGAUAUUCCCAACUUGUACUUAGGAAUCUUGAUAGCUGAAGAAUAUGAAGAGAGGGCUAAAUUAUGAGAGAAUUUAGAACUACUCUGGCAAUUUUUAUCACAUGAAAUAUUGAUUAGGCAAAUGUUUAGUAAGCACCAAGACACUCUUCUAUGUGUGGGGCAAACAAAGAUGUAUCAGGCACAGUUGCUUUCCUCAAUAAGCCUACAUACAGUCCGGUAGAGGACAGAAGGAAGAUGUGGUACAUGAGAAUCAACCCAUGGUGGUGGUAUGAGAUGUGCUAUAGAGGUGGAACUGCUUGAGCUGGACAAGAUGGUUAGAUAAGGCCUUGUGUAGAAGACUGGGUACAUGGUUUUAUUCUGAAGUAUCAGUAGACUGAGCAGAAGACUUUUUAGAUAGAAAGUCAGGAAAAUUGUAGAUAAUGACAACUGAGCCAGAGCAACAUCUUGGAGGGGACCUUUUGAGGAGUGAACGAGCAUUCAGUGGAAAUGAGAAAACAGGAUAGGAAGUUGGGAGACUGCCUUGGGGGAAUAUAUGUAUAGGCUGCCAGUUUGUAGUGAACAGAGCCUGAACUUGAUGUCCAGUUUGAACCUUGGUUUUGUUCCUCAUCUAUAUGGCCUUAACCUCAAGCAAAUCACUCAACCUCUGGGAGCCUCUGGUUUCUCUCCCAUAAAAUGGAAAUCGAUCUUGCUUAUAGCAAUUUUUAUAAGACAAGAUGAAAUAGUGCUUUUGCAAA